GAAUUUUUGCGCGGGUACAGGUCGCCCCCGGGUGCCCCGCCUACUUCGCGGGAUGCCUGGGAGCUGCGAUCUGCCCG
rnacentral:snRNA from 1 species